UUGUACGUUCCUACAUUCAGUGACACAUACUCAUAACAAUGAUUGCCUGCAACUAAGUAGCAAUGAAAACUGAGUCGACCAACAUUAUAUUAUGUUGUCUGUUAUACGAGGUAUAUGAAUGUGACUCUAUCUCUGAACACGUGUUGUACACGUAUCAUAUUAUCUUGUCAUUAUAAUUAAAUGUACUUCACUCGACUUCCACCGAAUAAACGCCAUCAACUCAGCAGCCUUCUCUGUUCUUCAAGGUGAUGGCCAGUCGUGACCGUUCUACUACCGCUAGUUCCCCCAAUUAAGUAGUAACACCCAAAAGGACGUCUACGUCACCCAAAAGACACGCUACGUCAAAAGAUUCCUCUUGGCGUAAAGGGUACAUCCCCUCGAACUUAGGUGACAUCUCUGCUCCGGACACCCACAAACACAACAAAGACAAUUGCCACAGGAUUAGGCCCCCAGCUUGAUGCCUUACAAAAAGAGAAUGUGUCUUUGAGGGAACAUUUGAGAGAACAAUGAGAGACAGUCUAAUCUUUUCUAAUGUCCCUGAUCAAGUGAAGACGUGGUAUGAGCAAUGAUCGUGUUGAAACAUGGGAACAGACGGAAGGCAUACUCAGAGAUUUUAUAAAAACUGAACUCAAACUUGCCUGUAGUAGUCCAGUUGCAGUUUGUACUCCAAGCGAGCAACACCUCUCCAAGCCUCCAGAGCCUCCUCAAGCCAACGCACAGCACCGCUGAUAGCAAGCCCA